UACGGGGGGGGCAAGCGUUGUUCGGAAUUACUGGGCGUAAAGGGCGCGUAGGCGGCCUGCUAAGUCGGACGUGAAAUCCCUCGGCUCAACCGAGGAACUGCGUCCGAUACUGGUGGGCUUGAAUCCGGGAGAGGGAUGUGGAAUUCCAGGUGUAGCGGUGAAAUGCGUAGAUAUCUGGAGGAACACCGGUGGCGAAGGCGGCAUCCUGGACCGGUAUUGGACGCUG
rnacentral:rRNA from 1 species